rnacentral:misc_RNA from 1 species
GAAAAAUUAAUAACUAAGAAAAAUGUUGAAACUCCAUGGCAUUUGAUUAAUAUAAGUCUGACACUAAUUCUGAAGCUGUACAAUUCACCAAGAUCAUCUUUUCCUACAAACAAAAACUGGUGGUAAUAGUCCAGCAAAAUGGUGACUACAACAUGCAGCUUGAGAAUUGAUGUACAAGAAUCCCAAAAGAAAAUCCUAAACAUGAACACUAAGUCUUGUCUACAGAACUCCUACAGUAUGCUGCAGUCUAACCCACACAAAGUCAUAGAUCUAAUUGAAAAGCUUAC